UUAAGUUUUCAUGGUUUUAAUUUAAAACUAAAUUAUGCGCGGAUAUGGUUCUGCCAAAUCUUUUUUUUUUAAUAUUUAGUAGUAUAUUAUAUUUAUAUAAUAUUUUAAUGUUGCUGACUUGUAAAUAAUACGUUUUAAAGAUAUAUUGAAUCGUGAUGUUGUUACAACAUAUAUUGUACAUGGUGUUUUUUUGUGUGCAGAAAUUUUUAAUAUUGUACAUAGUGUUUUUUUUGUUAUAUAUGUUCUUUAAAAUAUAUUUAUAUGUUAUUUAAAAUCUAUUAUUAACAUAUUUGGAAAAAAUAUUUUUCGGGUCCGUACUUUUAAGAUAUAGUUUACUAUGUUUUAAAAAUAUAUGGUCAAUUUAAAUUAACUGAGAUUAGAUUUAUUUUAAUAUUAAUUAUAAUUUUAAACAAAAAAGCCUGAUUUUGUUUAUCUCAUUAAACUCAACAUAGAUGUUUUUAUUCACCUCUUUAAAUGGAAAGAAGUCUGAACUUUGUCUCAUAAAUGGGUCAACCUGAAGUCCAACAUAAAACCACGCAACAUGUAUGUUUUAUGGGCAUUAUUUUGUUUCUUAUAUUUUACACGUUAUGACCCAUUAAGUUUUCAAAAAUUAUAUUUGUUGUUACAGAAAUCGCCCAUUAGUUAAAAAUGUAUUAGAUUGAAUGAAAGGUAAAUUAAGCCCACACCUUUUUUUUUCCGGGAAGGAAACCACUUUUAACGUUUUCUUGAAAAAUCAACAACUUUUUUUUCUUUGCUUCUCCGUCGGUGGUUCUCAGUUCGACACAAUAAUCUCCUCUAUAAUCAUCAACAGAAAUUCUUUAAAAGUAUAUCAAAUCCAGAAUAAACACCGUUCAGUCAAUCACCAAACUCAAUCGAUAACUGAGUUCUCGGUAAUUGGCAAGGAUUGUUUAAACGAUGGAUCUUUAAAAAGACAAAAGCAGAGAUUUAAAAAAGUAGAAGACAAACUUGACAGAGAUUUAAAAAAGUUAAGUCUGACCUUAGAUAUAAUCAUAUUACAUAUGUUCACAUCAACACAGUUUUUAUUUAUUCUCUUGUUGAUCUUUUGCUAUGUUUUCGUUUCUAUUAUUUCCUUGUUCCUAUUUUUUUUUUGUUAUUUCAUCUCAUAUAUUGAUAGGUCAUUGAUAAGGGUUGUAUGCCAUAGAAACUGAGAAAUACAGCAUUGGAACAAUUCACAAAACAAACUACAGAAACAAAGAUUGGGAAUGCAGCCGAUGACCAUCAUCCUCAAAGCGAGGUUGAUGCUUUCUUUUCAUCCUGUUCAUAGAAGGGCUAUGUUAGCAGAAACUCUUCGUAUUAAAGACAGCAUAUGGAAAAUACACGGUUUGUUCUCAGUUACAUGCACUGGAACUGAGGAAUAGUAUAAUCACCUUUAAAACAAAGUUGCUAGGAUGCAAAUAUGGAUUUAUCAAACAAUCUACAUUAGCUGAUUUACUCAAGGGAGUUCAACAACAGCUUAUUAAAAAAAUUAUCCUCAUCUUUGAGGGUGGAAUUGGUGACGUUGGAGUUGCUGAGGAUCAAUAUUUUGUACUUAUGACUCGUCGGUCGGUACUUUCCGGCAGCUGCGGUUAGUGAGAAAUUCUCAAUGAACCUCCAUUGUCCAAGCUGAAGUUUCUUAACAUGAGCAAACAAGAGUCUCUUGCAGGACUUUAACUUCGACCUUCCAAGAUGUUUUGUAUGGUUUGACAUCAUUAGGCAAAGUGAUAGUCGGGUCUGAGAUGAUUACCACUCCUUCUGUUACCAUCGAUGGUCAUGACUCAUGAGUAUGCUCCUUUUAAGUAUGAGAUGUCUCAACAACAUAGGCAUUAGUGCCAUCAAUGAGAUGACUCUUUUGCAGUUUUGGUCAGUCUUUGGAUGUUUUAGCAAAAUGGUUCGUUGAUACUUGAGUAGUAGAGUUGUAUUUGUCAUUUAGGAUGUGAAUAGAUUAUAAAAAUUGGUUUAAAGCUUCAAAGUUUGAGAUUGUAAUUGUCAUAUACAAACAAAUCCCUCUUUAGAAGGAAACUAAUGUACUCAUUUAUUUCUUUGUAAUAAAUAAGAAAGACACAUGAGUUUGUAACACAGACGCAAGUACUGCCUAAACAAGAGGUCUUGAUACAAAAGGCAAGUCAUUUUGAAACUUGGUUUCAUAUAAAGGCGAAUUGUAUAGAUGCAACAAUGCCAGCAAAAACUGUCUUUUCAAACAAAGUGAAGAAGCUACAAGCGGACGAGUUAAAACCAGCAGAGCAGAUUACUCUUGAGCCUUAUGAGCGUGACCAUGCUUGUGUUGUUGGUGGAUAUCACGUGCCUAAAAAGCAGAAAACUGCUGCUGCUUCUUAAUUAGCCAAUCAGUCUUUUUUACUAAUUAGUUUUUGAAUUACAUAUGAUCUCGACACCUUUUGUUUUUUUUCUUUUUUUUUAAAAAACAAAAAACUACAUAUCUAAGAACCGCCGGAUCGGAUAACUAAACCGGAGGUAAGUACUGAAUUUAAAUUUGCAUUUUUGUUAGGAAUUUAAAUUUGCAUUUUUGAUUUGGGUUUCACUUAAAAAAAAAACUUGGUUUGAAGAUUUUCGAAGCAUACUGGAUCUACAAAACAAAAACGCAACUCUCACAUAGACCAAGCCAAGUUAUUGAUUGAGUUGGGCUUGGAAGCUUCCAUGAGUCUUAACUCUCAACCUUCAAGAAAAUAUCAAAGUGAGCCAGAAGUUCUUAGUAAGAGAAACGAUGCAUGUGGAUAUGACUAUAGUAAUCUGCUCUCUUUUAUUACUUUUUGUCCUAUAACAGAAUGAGAUAGAUACAUGAUCAAACAAAGCACAAAUGAAUCAUUUCAAGGAACACAAGAUUACACUAUCAGCUACUACUAAUGCAACCCCUGAACAAGAAGCAACAAAAACUGUGACACGGAUAACAAAUAGAAGCUCAACCAAACGCUAGAGAAUCCAAAUCUAACGAUGUACCAAUACAGACCCUUAUAAAACUGAUCCAUCACUAAACCGAACUCAACCCAAAUUACAAACGCCCCUGUGAGUGAAUGUUGGAAUUUUGGAAAUGACAAACUCUACACAAUAACUCUUUCCUUUUGUUUGUGUUUUUCUAUCUGGCUUUUUUUUUAAUUUCCUGCAACAAGUUUCAUCUGAGAGUAGUGUUAUUUCCCUUUAAGUUAUAGGGAGGUUAACAUCUAUUUUACACGUUAGUUAACAUUCGUCUGGUAUAAUUAACACAUGGCUACAUUAAGUUAAGCCAUUGAUGCAUCAAUAUAAACUACGACGAUUCUAUUUCAAAAAGCCAGUAAUUUGAUCAACAUUAAUGCCGUAGCAUUCAUCAUCAAACCUUAAACCCAAUAACAAGAACAUAAUUAAAAGCCGAAUGGAACCAAAACAGAACAAACGAAAAACAGUGACGCAAAUAAAAAUAAUAGGUUCAACGAUGGUAAGACAAAUAACUAAUACCAAAAAACAAAUACAGCAUCAAAAGACACGCUGAUCAUAUGGUUGUCAUUUACAGGGCCUCCUCGACUAAAUCAAGAAUACACCUACACUUCCCUGCUUAUGCCCCCACACACAAGCCUCUUCAUAUGCAAAUGUCUACAAUGCAACAAUUCAUGUUUAAGAAAAACAUCACUUACUGGGUUUACUCCAUCAUAAAUUAAGCACCGAUUACAUUAUACAUCCCCGCGCUUGCCCGGGGUUCUGCCCCUAGUUUCAUAAAUAUCUCAGUCUUAAAAGAUGCUUAUAUCAUCUAUUGUUCUCCUUCAAUUUGAACAAAUCACUUGAACACCCACCAAAAAUUUAAGUGAAGAUAUAUACUACUUGUCCAGUCCUACAAACAUAUUUUACCAUAACAAUUUCAACUUAUAGAUAUAAUCUCUAAUACAAUUAAUCUCCACAUGUUUCAUUCAUUCUUAGACACAUGAUUAAUUGCAGUGAAAAACAUAAUAUUCUUAGGAUUGAAUUAAUUAUCUGAUAAUAAUAAUAAUAAUAAUAAUCAUUUUUGUUAAUAUGAAUCACUGCCUCGAAGGAGAAUGGUGGUCUGGGGUUUAGAAAUAUUAAAGAUUACAAUCAAGCAUUACUUGCGAAACAAGCCUGGAAGCUGAUGAAUGAGCCGGAGAGCUUGUUGGCCCAAGUUUAUAAGGGACGAUACUACGCAACCCAAGAGUUUUUGGACUGUGGAAAAGGGUACAGACCUUCGUACGCAUGGAUGAGCUUUUUGUUUGGUCGUGCGCUCCUUAAAAAGGUCUGAUAAGCUCAGUGGGUGAUAGUCAUAACACUCGGGUUUGGUCUGAUAAUUGGAUUCUUGAUCCAUUACCUCGUAGACCAGUAAACAAGCAAAUUCUCUUUGAUGUUGAGUUGAAGGUAUCGAGUCUGCUGGAUCAUGAAGGAAAGUGGAGAGUACAGUUAUUGGAGGAGCAGUUGUUUCCUGUGAAUGGAGUUGCUAGGAUAAUGAACUUAUAUAACGGAACAGAAAAGAAAAUAUGGGCUUUCACGAAUCAUGGAUCCUACACGGUCAAGAGUGGUUACUGGUUGGUGGCGAACCACUUGUUCGGAAAUAUACAUAGCUGUGGGCCUCUGAAAGUUGCAAGCAAUGAACUCAAAGCGAGAAUAUGGAAAAAGUACCCUUCCAAAGAUCAGAGUGUUUCUAUGUAGGUGUUUAUUAGGAUCUUUGGCAGUGGCUGAUACACUUAACUCUAUGGGGCAGAAUGUGAACAAUACAUGUACACUUUGUCAAUCAGGAGAUGAAACAAUAAACCAUGUGUUGUUUCACUGCUCAUAUGCGCAGGAGGUUUGGAGAAGGGUGGCAAUUACAAGUUUACAGGUGAGCUUUUAACCCUCGUUAGAGGAUAACUUUCGCACUCUCCUCAGUACAAUGGAACUACAUGGCCAAAAUUGGACAAGAGUGGUUGUUGUGGAUGAUUUGGAAAAAUAGGAAUGCAAUCUUAUAUGCCAGCACUCAAGUUUCAUUAGAUAGAUUGGUAAGAGAAUCACUGGAUGAAGCUAACUUAUGGUUAAGGUUGAAUCAAUCAGAGAAUCAGCAAGGAGUUCAUCCCUCAACACAGUUCACUGAGAAAUGGUUGCCACCUUCACCUGGGUUUAUGAAAUGUAAUACCCACACAAACUGAAGAAAUUCUUCCCUGCAUUGUGGCAUGGCAUGGAGAGGAAGAGACUGCAAUGAGACAGUAUGUCAUCAUGCCCGAGAUGCCUUUACGACCUCUCCUAACCGUUUUGUUGCAGAGCUGAGUGGUAUCAUUUG